rnacentral:rRNA from 1 species
GACGAACGCUGGCGGCGUGCUUAACACAUGCAAGUCGAACGGAAAGGCCCUGCUUUUGUGGGGUGCUCGAGUGGCGAACGGGUGAGUAACACGUGAGUAACCUGCCCUUGACUUUGGGAUAACUUCAGGAAACUGGGGCUAAUACCGGAUAGGAGCUCCUGCUGCAUGGUGGGGGUUGGAAAGUUUCGGCGGUUGGGGAUGGACUCGCGGCUUAUCAGCUUGUUGGUGGGGUAGUGGCUUACCAAGGCUUUGACGGGUAGCCGGCCUGAGAGGGUGACCGGCCUCAUUGGGACUGCGAUACGGCCCAGACUCCUACGGGAGGCAGCAGUGGGGAAUAUUGCACAAUGGGCGGGAGCGUGAUGCAACAACGCCGCGUUCGGAAUGACGGCCUUCGGGUUGUAAACCGCUUUCGCCUGUGACGAAGCGUGAGUGACGGUAAUGGGUAAAGAAGCACCGGCUAACUACGUG